UACCGGGCGACCGGAUGCCGAUCUCGAAAACCUGUCCCAGUUCGGACUGGAGUCUGCAACCCGACUCCACGAAGUUGGAUUCGCUAGUAAUCGCGCAUCAGCCAUGGCGCGGUGAAUACGUUCCCGGGCCUUGUACACACCGCCCGUCAAGCCAUGGGAGCCGGGGGCGCCUGAAGUCCGGGACCGCGAGGACCGGCCUAAGGCGAAACUGGUGACUGGGGCUAAGUCGUAACAAGGUAUC
rnacentral:rRNA from 1 species